GUCUGACGGUGGAAAACUGGCUGCUUAAAUCCUAACAAAGGAUAAUGGGUGUGAUUAUUAUGCGGCGGACAGUUUGAGUUAAGAGGGAGCUGUUCUACUUGUCAUGGCAGACCCCAACUCCAUCAGUCUUCUCGCUCUCCUCUCUGUGUCUGCCUUGUCCUGGAUGUACUCCUGAAAUCAUACUCUUGGUUAGUUAAAAGUUGUCGCUGCCCCUGCUCCACUUCCUCCUCCAGACGCCCCAAACGCUGCAGCAGCUCCCGGUGGGUGAUGGACAGGGUCUCGUGGCGCCGAAUGAUGGGCAUAACCAAAGAUUCAGACCCAUUAUCAUGUUUUAGACGGGGGUCGCUGUUAUCUAAAACAGGAAGGGAAGAAGUCGUCAUAUUGUCGAGCAAUCCUGAUGAGUAAACAAGUCCUGCAGUUAUUCCACGUUCGGGCGACCAGAAGGACGACCAAGGGUCUUUUUCGGAUGUUUUCCUGGAUUUGUGUAGCUGUUGCCUGGGAACAGCAGGCGAGACAACAGGGAAUGUGCCAGGAUCGUUUCUCUGUUGUCAUGGCAACUGCCAAAGAGGCGGUUCGUUUUUAUUGACUGAAUGAGAGGCAUAGAAAUGAGAUCAUUAGCUAGAGGUCCGAGACGAGGCGAAAAUUAAGAGAGCUCACUCCGUUCUAAUUCCCGGGAACCGUGAACCAAGUGGU